ACAACUAUGGUGUAGUGGUUAUCACGUCCGCUAUACACGCGGAAGGUCCCAGUUCGAGCCUGGGUAGUGUCA
rnacentral:tRNA from 1 species